CCCCUAGAUGUUCUGGGCCGCACGCGCGCUACACUGAACAGUUCAACAAGUCUUAACCUUGGCCGAUAGGUCUGGGUAAUCUUUGAACGCUGUUCGUGAUUGGGAUAGAACUUUGCAAUUAUGGGUCUUCAACGAGGAAUUCCUAGUAAACGCAAGUCAUCAGCUUGCAUUGAUUACGUCCCUGCCCUUUGUACACACCGCCCGUCGCACCUACCGAUUGAAUGGUCCGGUGAAAUCUCGGGACGGCGGCUUGGUCGCUUGCGUCCGACUGCUGAAACUUGAUUAAACCAUAUCAUUUAGAGGAAGGUGAAGUCGUAACA
rnacentral:rRNA from 1 species